AUGAUGAAUGGUCAUGAGUUUUCUUGUUUUUCUGUCCAAAUUGUCCAGUUCCAUCUGUGUCCAGUUUAUAAUGCCAGAAGUAUAUCUUAUGACAGGUAUGGCCCAGGUGUUUAUGGCCUUGAAAAUUGCUACUCAGUUAUUUACCAAGAUAUUAUUAAUGUAUUAUUAUUAUUAUUAUUAUUAUUAUUAUUAUUAUUAUUAUUUUAUUAUGACACAGCAAACAAGAUAGAUAUGCUGGAUUUCAUAUCACAAAAUCACAAUCUGCCAACUGCAAAAGGCCACCCUACUGGGAUCUGCACGCAUCAUCCGAAAAUACAUCACACAGUCCUAGACACUUGGGAAGUGUUCGACUUGUGGUUUUGUGAAACGAAAUCCAGCAUCUCCAUCUUGUUUGCUGUGUCAUACAAUGUCGUUGUGUCAAUAAUAAUAAUAAAUUAAUAAUAUCUUGGUAAAUAACUGAGUAGCAAUUUUCUUAAUACAUUAAGAGCCAGGGAUUUGUGUGACCCUGCAGACACUACUGGAUUACAUACUCCAUCGUUGCUUCUCAUUGGCUAUGCUUGCUAGGGCUGUAUAAGUUAUAAACCAAAAAUAUAUAGAACAGUAUCCACUUCUCUGAUUUAGAGUGGAAAAGCUUAAGCAUGGACUUAUGCAAAUCAUUAUUCUAGCUGUCUUUUAUGACUUAUACUUUGAUCUGGUUGAAGAUGCUUAUGUGGCUCUAAUGGUAAUAUAUAUCCACAGCUAGAAAUGUUUUCUCCCACUGUUGGUUGAUAUUCUGCUACUCUAGCCAAUGGAUACUUAUUCACUUGAAUUUGUGUUGAAGGCUUUGUUCUCUGUUCCACCAUCAAAAGAAGUAGGCCACCAUUAUAAGAUUUCCAUCAUACCUACUGGUGUUUUAGUUGGACAGUGAUAGCAUUCUUGUUGCAUGUAGAUGUUAACGGAUUUCAAUAUAUGAUGAAAUUAUUUGGUUCUUCGCCUGUUUAUGGUAAGACACCUAUUUCAAUUAUUUUGUUUAGCAGGUUUUGCUUUGAUUGUGGUUUCAUAUAAACCAUUCUGGAGGCCUUUGAUAAGAUUGAAACGUGGCACAUCAUUCACAGUAAGAUUUCAAAAGGAAGAUAUAGCAGUUUCUGAUAAUUUUACCACCAGUUGUUGUUUGUUAAAAUCAGUGAGUAAAAUUAUAUCAUAAUUUCAGAAAUGGGUUUGGGUGCUGCCAUUUGUAACUCCCUUUUUUGUGAAUGGAUAGAUGGGAAUUCCAUUUUAGCCUCUGCACAAAUGCUAAUAAUCAUUUAAUACGCAAUUGCUUGUUGAGUCAGUUGCAUGAACUGAUGUGAGUUUAAGAUUUUAACUGCCUGCCUCAUCCACAGCAGCUGUUUCUUCACUUGUAGUGCAAUGACUGGCAUGCAAGUUUCAAACUGGAAUGUUGGGGAGAAUGCAAAUAAUAUAUUUAGUUCUUGUCAGCAGACGGCAUGAGGCACCAGUGGGUCUCACUCCCAGAGGAGUGGUCGGUUACUUUAACUGCAGUGCUUAGCUCUGCUUAAUAUAAUACGUUAUUUAGGGCAAGUUUGUAAAAGAGUGGCCGUGUAAUUUGUUAUGUUAUGCCAUGCUGUAAUGUAAAACAAUUUGAAUGGGGGAAAGUAGCUUAGAAAUGAACAUAUAUCUGAAGGAACAACUGGGAAGAAAAGAGCACUCAGCACAUUAAUUCCAUUUUUAUGUUGGUGCUUGUUAAUAUCUGGAGCCUUUCCCCCCUCAUACUGAAUAGUGAAAUGCAGCUGGAAUGGAAGUCAGCAUUUCUAGAAGUGAAUGAGCUGUACUGACUCAAGACUAUAGAAGGGAAACAUGUCCCAGAGGAUCGGGCAAGACUUCAACAUAUCUGUCGGAAAUUGCAGCUGUCAGGUUUUCUUUUAUUGUCCUGGCAAAGUGCUGUGUCAGUUGUUAUAGAAAAUUUCUACCAUGGUAUAGGAAAAGUGGCUAGUUUCCUUACACUAGGUUUUAAAGCUUAUUUAGAAUUAUAUGGUACAUGUAAUUUGUAUCUUAUGUUCACUAAGUACAUACACAUUCAUGAAGCUGUCAAAGUUAGAUCCUUAUAUUUUGGCCAUGGUUUCCGCCCCCCCCCCCCCCCCCGCCCCCAAAAGUACUUUAAUUAUUUCCUCAGAAGAAAGCAGGAGAAAAAUUUAACUAAAGUGUUUUCAUUCUUCAUCUUUAAUAAUUUCCUUGGGAGUCAGAAACUAGUCUUAGAUCUUGUUGUUGGUAUUAUGUUUAGGACUGUUGCUAGCAGUUUUAAAAGUUCAAUGUAAAAUUUCUCUCCUGAGAGCAGUUUUGUCCAAUUAUACGAAACAGCUCCAAAAUGAGCAUUUUGUGCUACUAAAUUAUGUUGUCCCAUUUAAUCUCUGACUGGCUAGAAUGAAAAGAGUAACUUCUGAUUGGUCAGUUAGGCAGACAAUUCCAAAUUUUCCUUUUUGUUCUUUAACACUACACAACAGCCAUGACUGCAUCCUAUGGCAGCUCAGGAUU
rnacentral:lncRNA from 1 species